rnacentral:rRNA from 1 species
GACGAACGCUGGCGGCGUGCUUAACACAUGCAAGUCGAACGGAAAGGCCCUGCUUUUGUGGGGUGCUCGAGUGGCGAACGGGUGAGUAACACGUGAGUAACCUGCCCUUGACUUUGGGAUAACUUCAGGAAACUGGGGCUAAUACCGGAUAGGAGCUCCUGCUGCAUGGUGGGGGUUGGAAAGUUUCGGCGGUUGGGGAUGGACUCGCGGCUUAUCAGCUUGUUGGUGGGGUAGUGGCUUACCAAGGCUUUGACGGGUAGCCGGCCUGAGAGGGUGGCCGGCCACAUUGGGACUGAGAUACGGCCCAGACUCCUACGGGAGGCAGCAGUGGGGAAUAUUGCACAAUGGGCGGAAGCCUGAUGCAGCAACGCCGCGUGCGGGAUGACGGCCUUCGGGUUGUAAACCGCUUUCGCCUGUGACGAAGCGUGAGUGACGGUAAUGGGUAAAGAAGCACCGGCUAACUACGUGCCAGCAGCCGCGGUGAUACGUAGGGUGCGAGCGUUGUCCGGAUUUAUUGGGCGUAAAGGGCUCGUAGGUGGUUGAUCGCGUCGGAAGUGUAAUCUUGGGGCUUAACCCUGAGCGUGCUUUCGAUACGGGUUGACUUGAGGAAGGUAGGGGAGAAUGGAAUUCCUGGUGGAGCGGUGGAAUGCGCAGAUAUCAGGAGGAACACCAGUGGCGAAGGCGGUUCUCUGGGCCUUUCCUGACGCUGAGGAGCGAAAGCGUGGGGAGCGAACAGGCUUAGAUACCCUGGUAGUCCACGCUGUAAACGGUGGGUACUAGGUGUGGGGUCCAUUCCACGGGUUCCGUGCCGUAGCUAACGCUUUAAGUACCCCGCCUGGGGAGUACGGCCGCAAGGCUAAAACUCAAAGGAAUUGACGGGGCCCCGCACAAGCGGCGGAGCAUGCGGAUUAAUUCGAUGCAACGCGUAGAACCUUACCUGGGUUUGACAUGGAUCGGGAGCGCUCAGAGAUGGGUGUGCCUCUUUUGGGGUCGGUUCACAGGUGGUGCAUGGCUGUCGUCAGCUCGUGUCGUGAGAUGUUGGGUUGAGUCCCGCAACGAGCGCAACCCUUGUUCACUGUUGCCAGCACGUUAUGGUGGGGACUCAGUGGAGACCGCCGGGGUCAACUCGGAGGAAGGUGGGGAUGACGUCAAGUCAUCAUGCCCCUUAUGUCCAGGGCUUCACGCAUGCUACAAUGGCUGGUACAGAGAGUGGCGAGCCUGUGAGGGUGAGCGAAUCUCGGAAAGCCGGUCUCAGUUCGGAUUGGGGUCUGCAACUCGACCUCAUGAAGUCGGAGUCGCUAGUAAUCGCAGAUCAGCAACGCUGCGGUGAAUACGUUCCCGGG